rnacentral:sRNA from 1 species
UGCAGGCUAGACUCAAACUCCUGGAUUCAAGCAAUCCUCCUGCGGACUCAGAUGAUCCUUCUGCCUCAGCUUCCUGAGUAGCUGGGGUAAAGCUUAUAAAGUAAAAACUUUUAUAUCCCCAGCAGAAUCAUAACUUUUCACAGAGGCAUCUAAUUUCUUAACCUCAAAGCAGAAGAGAAACAUCUUUCAAAUUUUCCUAUGAUAGUCAAGGAGUGGGGGUUGUGGAAUGUAUAUACUUAGAUGAAUUAAACUCAGACCUUCUCCGGUUGUACGUGUGAGCCACCCAGACAAAGAUGAAGGUUAACAUAGUUUAAGGAUGAAAUAUAGACCAUCCUGUGCAAAACCACUGUGUUGCAGUUUAAUUAAAAGAAUUCAUUAAAGUGGUGCCCCAUCCAGGGUAA